ACAGCAGCCGCCGCGGUAAUACGAAGGGUGCAAGCGUUAAUCGGAAUUACUGGGCGUAAAGCGUGCGUGGGCGGUUUGUUAAGUCUGUUGUGAAAUCCCCGGGCUCAACCUGGGAAUGGCAAUGGAUACUGGCAAGCUAGAGUGUGUCAGAGGAUGGUGGAAUUCCCGGUGUAGCGGUGAAAUGCGUAGAGAUCGGGAGGAACAUCAGUGGCGAAGGCGGCCAUCUGGGACAACACUGACGCUGAGGCACGAAAGCGUGGGGAGCAAACAGGAUUAGAUACCCCUGUAGUCCCUGUCUCUUAUAC
rnacentral:rRNA from 1 species